CCGCUUGCUCCCAUGGCGUGGGUGUUACAGAGUUUUCAGAAAUCAAGAAACCAACCAAUUGUUAUUAUUACAAACUGAUAUAGACUUUGUAGAAAAAACUACCACUAAAUCUUACGGUCUAUAUUGAAAGUAGAAAUAACUUCCUAUAACCUCCUAAGACACUGGAAAAUAACUUUUUUUUUUUUUUUGGCUUUCGCACCGGUUUCCGACCCACCAAUGGUGGACGACUAAUCCGGCUCAUGCGUAGAGGCAUGCGCACUGGAAAAUAACUUUCAUGCACUAAGACACUAGAAAAUAAUUUUCAAUGCACUUCAGCCUUGUUUUCCGCUAUGCGCUCCAGUUACAACAUCGAAUUAUUUCUCCUUGCCUUUGGUCGAAAUUGCAGUGUGUCGAAGUAUGUAUGUAAUUGGUCGAAAUCCAUUUGCACUUUGCAGCCUGUCGAAAAAACAUAUCUGCCUUAUCAAAAACAUAAUCAUUAGUUCGACCAAAUAUAUAUAUAUAUAUAUAUAUAUAAUUUAAUGGUUAUGUUAAUAAGUAUCUCUGAAAUACGUUUUAAGAAAUGAUAACAAGAAAACAAAUGAUAAGACUCAAAUGUAAAUAAAUUAAUUCUAAUUUUGUUAAUGUUGAAAAUGACCAUGAGUGUGUUUUCUUGGAAAUUUUAAAAACUAUACCGAUGAAAGAAGGGAUAAUAGUUUUGGGAGAAAUGAUAUUUGUACAUCCAUUUUUUAAUAACUUUUGUGACAACUUUCUUUCUCAUACUCACAUUAUAUUUUUAUUUUGUCUCUCAAUUGCUUUGAUUUUUGUGCCAACACAUACUUUUCUUUGUAAAAAUAUGGUUGUCAACCAAAUUGAGGUUCAAAUAACAUUGCUUUAGUUUUGGUAUCUCUGUGUUACGAGCAACUACAAACAAUAGCUCUUAAAUAUAUCGUAAUUUUAAAAUAGUUCGAAUGUGCAGUAGUAUGUUAUUUAAAAUAGACUUCUAAGUUAAAAUGUUUUUUUAAUAUUGUCACACUAGAUCUUUAAUAUACAUACUUAUUAUGAUAUCGGUUCUAAGAACUUAGUGUGACAUCAACCCAUAUAUAAAAAGAAUUAAUGUUAACAUUGACUAACUAUCAACGUCAGAGACUAUUUUGGUUAAUCAAGUAUAUAAUCAAUGAAUAUUUUAGAAUCUCGAUACAUUGAAAAAUUAUUAUGACUGCUCGUUAUACAUUUAAGAAUAAAAAGACUAUUAUUGAAACAAAAACUAACUCAAAAUUUAAUCAUGAAGAACUUAAAAAAAAUAGGUUUGAUCAAUUUUUGUCUUAAUUAUUACCCUAAAUCCUACCUUCGAUGUAGCAAAAAAAAGUCCUACCUUUGAAAUUAUAAACGAAAGAUUAAAACCAAUAUAAUUUUAUUCUUCGGCAAAUAAUUGAAGUAGGUAGUAUGAAAUCAAGCACAGUGCAUGCAUCUCAAUCCAGAAUUCAACUUGCCUAAAAUAAUUGAAAAUUAAAAAAAUAAAAAUAAAAUAAAAAAUAUCAUAAAUAAUUAAAUUUAAUAAAAAAGAAGGUCGGCGAUAAAUUGUUUGGGACACAUGUUAACGAUUGUUUUAGGCAUACCAAAAAUUAUCACACCCCAGGCCCAAUUGUAAACGACGUCAAUUUUAAUCAAAACGACCCCACGUUCUCACCGAGUACAAAUCCAGACUCAACCCUCGUACCCCAACCUUCGUUCUUCUCUCUCUCUUCCAUUUCCCAAUCCCUCUGCUUCGUUGACUCCAAAAUCGAUCUUCGUCGAAGAUCGGUGAUACUUCAACCUUCGUUUUCUUCACUACAAGGUUCGAUUCUACCGUUUUCUUCACUCUAUUAACUACUACUUCGUUUUCCAGGGUUUCUCACUUCAAACCUCUAACCCUAGUUCACUUCAAUUCGAUUUGAUUUAAUUUAGUUGAUUCGUUAUUUGACGCUUCUUCUAUACUUGUUUUUGUUUCAGAUCUAGUUCAAUUUCCACCUCAUACGUUUGAUUCAAAGCUCAACUCACUGAAUUUGAAGAUUCUUCAGGUUUUUUUACCUUUUUACUACUCGAUUUAGUUCAUGUUGAUUUUGUUGCUGUAGAUUUGCUAGGUUCCGAGAUUUGAACGGUUUUUUUGUGUGAUUUGAUUAC
rnacentral:lncRNA from 1 species